rnacentral:rRNA from 1 species
UACGUAGGGGGCGAGCGUUGUCCGGAAUCAUUUGGCGUAAAGCGCGUGUAGGCGGCCCGGUAAGUCCGCUGUGAAAGUCCAGGGCUCAACCCUGGGAUGCCGGUGGAUACUGUCGGGCUCGAGUCCGGAAGAGGCGAGUGGAAUUCCUGGUGUAGCGGUGAAAUGCGCAGAUAUCAGGAGGAACACCAAUGGCGAAGGCAGCUCGCUGGGACGUGACUGACGCUGAGACGCGAAAGCGUGGGGAGCAAACAGG